CUAUAGACUACACGGUAAAUAUUUUAGUUGGAUAACUGAGGUAAUUCUUGAGCUAAUACACGCUGUUAAUACCACAUUAGUGGUGCGUUUAUUUGAUUAAACCAUUAUAUUGGUUGACUCAAAAUAUCCUCGCUGAUUUUGUUACUAAAACAUACCGUAUGUGUAUCUGGUUUAUCAACUUUCGAUGGUAGGGUAUUGGCCUACCAUGGUUGUGACGGAUAACGGAGAAUUAGGGUUCGACUCCGGAGAGGGAGCCUGAGAAACGGCUACCACAUCCAAGGAAGGCAGCAGGCGCGAAAAUUACCCAAUUUUAGUUAAAAGAGGUAGUGACGAAAAAUGACAACCAAAUAUUAUUAUUAAUAUUUGGAUUGAAAAUCUUCAAGUUUAAAUAACUUGUUGGUAAAGGAAAGGGCAAGUCUGGUGCCAGCAGCCGCGGUAAUACCAGCUUUCCAAGUGCAUAAAAUGAUUGUUGUGGUUAAAAAGCUCGUAGUUGGAUUAUAAAGAUUGUAUAAUGAGCAUCUUGGAUGUUAUUAAUCAUUAUCAUCUUAUAUUUUUAUUAUAUUAGAAAUAAUAUAAUAACUGUUACUUUGAAUAAAUCAGAGGGUUUAAACCAGACAUUAUAUGUUUGUAUGGUCUAGCAUGGAAUAACACUAUAGAAAAAUUUAGUGUGGUUUCACUUAAUUUUUCAUGAUUAAUAGGAACAAACGG
rnacentral:rRNA from 1 species